GAUGAAGAACGUAGCGAAAUGCGAUAAGUAAUGUGAAUUGCAGAAUUCAGUGAAUCAUCGAAUCUUUGAACGCAUCUUGCGCUCCUUGGUAUUCCGAGGAGCAUGCCUGUUUGAGUGUCAUUAAAUUCUCAACCUUACUAGCUUUUGCGAAGUAAGGCUUGGAUGUGGGGGUUACUUUUGCUGGCUUCUAACGAGGUCGGCUCCCCUGAAAUGCAUUAGCGGUGCCCUUGUGGACCCCGACUAUCAGUGUGAUAAUUAUCUACGCUGUUAGGCGCCCACGCUUUAGUGCUGCUUCUAACCGUCCGGUUUCUGGACAACACAAAUGACAUUUUUGACCUCAAAUCAGGUAGGACUACCCGCUGAACUUAAGCAUAUCAAUAAGCGGAGGA
rnacentral:misc_RNA from 1 species